AUGAAAUACAAAAGUGCAGAUUGCGUUGAUUAUAAAUGUCACUGAAGCGUAGUGGUGUAUUUAUUUUGAAGGGCACGUUCACUAGGGCUUUGUUGGACUUGUGUGCGCGUCUUGACUUACUGUCAAUGUAUCGAAGUGUGAAAGGAGCGGCAGCAGACAGACAGCAAACAAGCAAGUCAGUAACACAAGUUAUGUGAUCAAAUUAUCAAUCUAAGGACCGCCUACAAGAUUGAAUGGCUUUGAAGAACCUAUUGAUGACUAGCUAAUGCUUUUGGGUUUAUUUUCUUUAGUUUGACAGGGUGGGAGACGGUUUGAUUUUGAAAAAAAAUUGAAAAGAUCGAGGACAUUGGCGUGGAUGUCGCCUCUUCGCAACCGUUAAAUAUCCCAAUAAAUGCAUUUCUAUUGGACAUUUUAUUAUAUUCUUGCCUAGCGAUCAGGAAAUUUCUUUGCAUCUUGCCGGUGGGACCUGUACUGGAAUCUUCCAUUGCGCUGCUGUUAGCUAACACAGCAACUUAGAAAGAGCCGGGCCUUUGGACAUUACAUGGAUUGUGGUGUGAAAGGGUGCAUUUUUCAGCAAAUAAUGUAAUGAUGUUCUACACACCAAUUUGUGAUUAGGGUCACGGGGGGCGCUGGAGCCUUUCCCAGCUGACUUCGGGCGAAGGCAGACUACACCCUGAACUGGACGCCAGUCGAUUGCAGGGCACAUAGACACUGACAACCAUUCACACUUACAUUCACGCCGUCACUGAGUGGGAACUGAACCCGCGCUGCCUGCACCAAAGUCAGGCAAAUGCACCACAAUACCAUCAGUGACUGCUUGAAUUAAUAUGAAAGCCGUGAGCUCCAACUCUCACUGGAGCAGUUCGCAGCCGAGUGUGAAGCGGCUGGGAUGAGAAUCAGCACCUCCAUAUCUGAGACCAUGGUCCUCAGUCGGAAAAGGGUGGCAUGCCCUCUCCAGGUCGGGGAUGAGAUCCUGCCCCAAGUGGAGGAGUUCAAGUAUCUUGGGGUCUUGUUCACGAGUGAGGGAAGAAUGGAACGGGAGAUCGACAGGCGGAUCGGUGCAGCGUCUGCACUGAUGCGGACUUUGUAUCGGUCCGUUGUGGUAAAGAAAGAGCUAAGCCGAAAGGCGAAGCUCUCAAUUUACCGGUCGAUCUUCGUUCCUACCCUCACCUAUGGUCAUGAGCUGUGGGUCGUGACCGAAAGAACAAGAUCCCGGAUACAAGCGGCCGAAAUGAGUUUCCUCCGCAGGGUAUCUGGGCUCUCCCUUACAGAUAGGGUGAGAAGCUCGGUCAUCCGGGAGGAUCUCAGAGUAGAGCCGCUGCUCCUCCGCAUUGAGAGGAGCCAGAUGAGGUGGCUGGGGCAUCUGAUUCGGAUGCCUCCCUGGUGAGGUGUUCCGGGCAUGUCCCACCGGGAGGAGACCCCGGGGACGACCCAGGACACGCUGGAGAGACUACAUCCUUCGGCUGGCCUGGGAACGCCUCGGGAUCCCCCCAGAAGAGCUGGAUGAAGUGGCUGGGGAGAGGGAAGUCUGGGCGUCCCUGCUGAAGCUACUGCCCCCGCGACCCGACCCGGAUAAGCGGUAGAAAAUGGAUGGAUGGAUGGUUAAAAAUAUUACUCAUAAUGCACAUUUAAUAAUACAAUAUAUGCAAUAUUUAUUAUUAAUAUAUAAUAAGAUACAGUUUACCUUGGUUUUUGUGAUUCAUCUCUUCGAAAUAAACAUAAAAAUCAUUUUGAAUACUGAAGCAAUAUGUUCAAGAAAAUAAUUUCCCAGAAAUAAUCCAUGGGUUCCAGACCCCCCCCCCCCCCCUCCAAAAAUGUACCAUAUUUUCACGACCAUAGGACGCACCGUAUUAAAAGGCGCAGUCUCAGUUACGGGGUCUAUUUCUGUAUUUAACACAUACAUAAGGCGCACCGUAUUAUUGGGCGCAGACAUGGUAAAAUCUAUGCUAGUUUAAAACAUACGGUAGCAAGCAUGCACGCUAAAACAAUGUUUUUAAAAAGGCAGCGGGAGCAAAACUGAGUUCGUUUGUACUUUAUUGAAGUAUUUAACAAUGUACUCACAUUAUUUUUUGAUCAAUCCUCAUCCACAAAUCCAUCAAAGUCCUCAUCUUCUGUAUCAGAAAUAAACAGCUGGGCAAGUUCACCAACAAACACGCCAGGUUCCCUCUCGUCAUUGUCAGUCUCGUUGCCGGGGGGCUGUUCAGCAAUGAUGCCGGCUUUCGCGAACGCUCGGACAACAGUCAAAGCAGAUACCUUAGCCCAAGAAUCCACAAUCCAUUCAUAUAUGGUGGCGUAAUUCGCUUGGCGUUGCCUCCCAGUCUUAGUUGCACUUGUUUUUUCACAGCGGCUGUGAGAUGGGCGCGCAUGGAGUCACAGAUCAACAGGGACGACGGUGACGCGUGGAAAAAAAACAUCCGGCCUCUUUACGUACACCUCACUCAGCCACACUCUCAUUUUCUACUUGUCCAUCCAGCCCUUUUGAUUGGCCUUAUCGAUGACUUCGGCUGGAAACUUUUCUUUAGGCAGCGUCUUCCUCUUAAAAAUCACCAUAGGUGGCAGUUUCUGUCCAUUACCAAGGCAACCAAGCACAAGAGUAAAAGCUGACUUCUUGUGCCCCGUUGUGCGUAUCGCUACCGUGGUGGUCCCCUUCUUCUCUACAGUGUGGUUCACCGGGAUGUCGAAAGUGAGUGGCACCUCGUCCAUGUUGGUGAUGUGGUUGGGAUGGAUGUAUUUGUCGGCAAUCUUUUUACUGCAGUAGGAGCGGAAGAUG